rnacentral:lncRNA from 1 species
AUCUCAGAGAGCACUUUGCUUCUGAAGAAAAGGUUAUUCCUUAAACUCUGACCCAUGGAGAUGAGACAGAGGACGAAGCUCCUUCACUCUUCCUGGAGUUUAUAUCCAUCCUUCUCUCUGGAAUCCUCAUAUGCAGCUGCAAUUACAAGGAGACUGGAAUGAAAAUGAGCUGACCCAUCACAUGUCACCUGUGUGAGUGACUAACAGAAAUCUAAG